GGAUGUGAGCAGAAUCUGGCUGUAUCAUCUGUCNCCCAUUGAUAACCAAGGUUGAUUCAGCUGAUUGGCUGGUUAGGUGGGUGUUCCCUUCCUCCAUUGCCAUUCCAUGUGUAUUCCUGCUGAAGUUUCAUGUGUAGUGGAUGUAAAUGAGCAUCUUGGAUAGAAGGAGUGUACUGUGCUUCAGUCAAGGGUAUAAAAUAGCUGCAAUAUCAGACAAAGCUGCANACAUCUUGAAUNAGUGCUAGGAUGCAGUGAU
rnacentral:snRNA from 1 species